AUUGAACGCUGGCGGCAGGCCUAACACAUGCAAGUCGAACGAGUGGCGGACGGGUGAGUAAUGUCUGGGAAACUGCCAGAUGGAGGGGGAUAACUACUGGAAACGGUAGCUAAUACCGCAUACCAUCGGAUGUGCCCAGAUGGGAUUAGCUAGUAGGUGGGGUAACGGCUCACCUAGGCGACGAUCCCUAGCUGGUCUGAGAGGAUGACAACCCACACUGGAACUGAGACACGGUCCAUACUCCUACGGACGGCAGCAGUGGUGAAUAUUGUCCAAUGGGCGCAAGCCUGAUGCAGCCAUGCCGCGUGUAUGAAUAAGGCCUUCGGGUUGUAAAGUACUUUCAGCGAGGAGGCGUUGCUCGCAGAAGAAGCACCGUCUAACUCCGUGCCAGCAGCCGCGGUAAUUC
rnacentral:rRNA from 1 species